GAAUCCGCUAAGGAGUGUGUAACAACUCACCUGCCGAAUGAAUUAGCCCUGAAAAUGGAUGGCGCUGAAGCGGGUACCCGACACUAUGCCGUCUAAUCUAGACCGUAUUAGAUGAGUAGGAGGACGUGGCGGUUGUAUAGAAGCGUGUGCGCGAGCAUGCGUGGAACGGCCGCUAGUGCAGAUCUUGGUGGUAGUAGCAAAUAUUCAAAUGAGAUCCUUGAAGGGCGACGUGGGGAAGGGUUCCACGCGAACAUUGAUUGAGCGUGGGUGAGUCGUUCCUGAGCCGUCUGGCAAUAGCUAGCUACCGGCGAAAGGGAAGCAGGUUGAUAUUCCUGCACAUAGAUAUAGAUGCGGUGACGCGCGCUGUGGCGGUGACGUUGUCGGUUCGCACUGGGCAGAGAUUUCUUUUCUGUUUGACAGUUCCAGACGUACGCUGUGGAAUCCGCUUGUCGGGAGAAACAGGUGCAGUUUUGGCAGAGCGUCGGGUAUUUUCUGACGUCCAGUUCGCGACCGGCGGCCCUUGAAAAACCGUCCGCGGAAAACUUCUAUACUAUAACGUACCCAUAACCGCAUCAGGUCCCCAAGGUGAACAGCCUCUGUCCAGUAUGAAAAAUGCAGGUAAGGGAAGUCGGCA
rnacentral:rRNA from 1 species